GCCAGUGUGGUGUAGUGGUUUGAGUGUUGGACUAUGACUCUGGAGACCAGGGUUUGAAUCCCCACUCAGCCA
rnacentral:tRNA from 1 species